rnacentral:rRNA from 1 species
GACGAACGCUGGCGGCGUGCCUAAUACAUGCAAGUUGAGCGCUGAAGGUUGGUACUUGUACCAACUGGAUGAGCAGCGAACGGGUGAGUAACGCGUGGGGAAUCUGCCUUUGAGCGGGGGACAACAUUUGGAAACGAAUGCUAAUACCGCAUAAAAACUUUAAACUCAAGUUUUAAGUUUGAAAGAUGCAAUUGCAUCACUCAAAGAUGAUCCCGCGUUGUAUUAGCUAGUUGGUGAGGUAAAGGCUCACCAAGGCGAUGAUACAUAGCCGACCUGAGAGGGUGAUCGGCCACAUUGGGACUGAGACACGGCCCAAACUCCUACGGGAGGCAGCAGUAGGGAAUCUUCGGCAAUGGACGAAAGUCUGACCGAGCAACGCCGCGUGAGUGAAGAAGGUUUUCGGAUCGUAAAACUCUGUUGGUAGAGAAGAACGUUGGUGAGAGUGGAAAGCUCAUCAAGUGACGGUAACUACCCAGAAAGGGACGGCUAACUACGUG